GGCCUGGAAAAGUGCCCAGCCGUCGGCACGGAACAGAGUUGGGCACACCAGCUCCCGGGCCUGUUUGUCAGAGGUGUGGGCCUACGACAGCGUCGGUCUCAAGGCUGCCCAGGAUGGGACAAGACCACAGAGCAUCAGCUGUGACUACCCCAUGUCAGACUGGCAAGUCUCAAGGAGAUGCCAUCUCCUUCACAGAGGGCGGAGCUGGAGGAGUCCCUGCAGGACAGGACAGCUCUGCUGCUGCGGACUGGCGACAGAUGUGCUCACCAGGUGGUGGUAGAAAAUAGCACCCAGAAGAAAGACCGAAGAGGA